AUCUGGUCGAUCCUUAAAGUAGUAAUAUACUUAUCCCGGAGAUUAAGCCAUGCUUGUCUAAGCAAAUACAUUUAAACGGUGAAACAGCGACUGGCCCACCGAAUCAGCUGUGGUUCCUUGGAUCGUAUAUACUACAUGGAUAACUGUAGUAAUUCUAGAGCUAAUACAUGCCACUAUGCCCUGACCCGCGAGGGAACGGGUGGAUUUAUAAGGACAGAACCAACCCGGGGGCGGCCUCGGUCGUCUCUGCUGCACUCUGUGGUGACUCUGGAUGACUUCACUGAUCGCAGUCUGCCUUGUGUUGGCGACGGAUCUUUCACAUGUUUGCCCUAUCAGUUUUCGACGGUAGGUGACCUGCCUACCAUGGUGCUAACGGGUAACGGGGAAUCAGGGUUCGAUUCCGGAGAGGGAGCCUGAGAAACGGCUACCACUUCCAAGGAAGGCAGCGAGCAAGCAAAUAACCCAAUCCCGGCACGGGGGGGGGAGAAGUGACGGAAAAUACGGAGACGGGACUCACUAGAGGCUCCGUAAUUCGAAUGAGUAUAAUUGAAAUCUUUUAACGAGGAUCAACUGGAGGGCAAGUCUGGUGCCAGCAGCCGCGGUAACUCCAGCUCCAGAAGCGUAUAUUAAAGUUGUUGCAGUUAAAAAGCUCGUAGUUGGAUCUGGGUCGCAUGGCUACAUGCCGUCGCUCGUGGGUCUGGCCUGGUUACUGCCGGGUUGAGCUUGCUAGUCAGUCUCGUGGUUGUGCUUCUUUUCUGCUGUCUGUUUAUAGGUGUCAGCGUUACUGGUGGGUUUGCUUGCUAGUCUUUAGGCACUCUACUUAGUGCCUUUAAUCUAAACAAAUUUUAGUGCUCAAACCAGGCCUUUGUGCCUGAAAUUUCUUGCAUGGGAUAAUGGAAUAGGAGGUUGGUUCUGUUUUGUUGGUUAUCGGAUCCAGAUUAAUGGUUAAGAGGGAUAGACGGGGGCAUUUGUAUGGCGGUGUUAGAGGUGAAAUCCUUGGAUCGCCGCCGGACAAACUACAGCGAAGGCAUUUGCAAAGGAUGUUUUCAUUGAUCUUGAGCGAAAGUCAGAGGUUCGAAGACCAUCAGAUACCGUCCUAGUUCUGACCGUAAACGAUGCCAACCGAUGAUCGGUGGUGGUUUUUUGUGUGUCUCAGCAAGCUGCCCCCGGGAACCCUUAAGUCCUUGAGCUCCGGGAGACGUAUGGUCGCAAAGCUGAAACUUGAAGAAAUUGACGGAAGGGCACCACCAGGAGUGGAGCCUGCGGCUUACUUCGACUCAGCACGGAAAACCCGCCCUGCCCGGACUAUGUAAGGAUUGUCAGAUUGAUAGCUCCUUCUUGAUUCGGUGGUCGGUGGUCGGUGGUGCACGGCCGUUCUUAGUUAGUGGAACGAUUUGUCUGGUCAAUUCCGGUAACGAACGAGGCUCGGGCGAGCUAAAUAGUAUGUCUGUCCUCUGUGCUCGUGUGGGUUGCGUUGUUCAUUGCCUCUUUGUGGGGUAGUGGUUGCGUUGACCGGCGGGUGCGGCAUAGCUACCUAAUUCCUGGAGGGACAAGCGGUAAGCAGUCGCACGAAAUUAAGCAAUAACAGGUCUGUGGUCCCGUUGGAUGUCCGAAGCCACACCUGCGCUACAGUAACGGUUUCAGCAAGUUUGGAAUUCUGGCCUGAGCAGGUUGGGCAAACUGCAUCAUAACCGUCUUGACUGAGAUGGAGCUUGCAACUGUUCCCCGUGAACGAAGAAUUCCUUGUAAGUGCAAGUCAAAAGCUUGCGCCGAUUAUGUCCCUGCUCUUUAUGCACACCGCUCGUCACUACUACAGAUUGGAUGGUUUACCAAGGCCCUCGGAUUGGUUCCAUUGUAGUGGCUUCGGCCUCUGGACCGGUGCUGAGAAGAAGACCAAACAUGAUCAUUUAGAGGAAGUAAAAGUCGUAACAAGUUUUCCGUAGGUGAACCUGCGGAAGGAUCAUUA
rnacentral:rRNA from 1 species